rnacentral:rRNA from 1 species
GAGCGGCGAACGGGUGAGUAACACGUGAGUAACCUGCCCUAGGCUUUGGGAUAACCCUCGGAAACGGGGGCUAAUACCGGAUAUGACCUUGCCCUGCAUGGGGUUUGGUGGAAAGUUUUUCGGCCUGGGAUGGGCUCGCGGCCUAUCAGCUUGUUGGUGGGGUGAUGGCCUACCAAGGCGACGACGGGUAGCCGGCCUGAGAGGGCGACCGGCCACACUGGGACUGAGACACGGCCCAGACUCCUACGGGAGGCAGCAGUGGGGAAUAUUGCACAAUGGGCGGAAGCCUGAUGCAGCGACGCCGCGUGAGGGAUGACGGCCUUCGGGUUGUAAACCUCUUUCAGCAGGGACGAAGCGCAAGUGACGGUACCUGCAGAAGAAGCACCGGCCAACUACGUGCCAGCAGCCGCGGUAAGACGUAGGGUGCGAGCGUUGUCCGGAUUUAUUGGGCGUAAAGAGCUCGUAGGCGGCUUGUCGCGUCGACCGUGAAAACUUGGGGCUCAACCCCAAGCCUGCGGUCGAUACGGGCAGGCUAGAGUUCGGUAGGGGAGACUGGAAUUCCUGGUGUAGCGGUGAAAUGCGCAGAUAUCAGGAGGAACACCGGUGGCGAAGGCGGGUCUCUGGGCCGAUACUGACGCUGAGGAGCGAAAGCGUGGGGAGCGAACAGGAUUAGAUACCCUGGUAGUCCACGCUGUAAACG